GUGCCAGCAGCCGCGGUAAUACGUAGGAGGCGAGCGUUGUCCGGAUUUACUGGGCGUAAAGGGCGCGUAGGCGGCCCCCUGAGUCCCGCGUGAAAUCUCCCGGCUCAACCGGGAGGGUGCGCGGGAUACUGGGGGGCUGGAGGGCAUCAGAGGGAAGCGGAAUCCCCGGUGUAGUGGUGAAAUGCGUAGAUAUCGGGGGGAACACCAGUGGCGAAGGCGGCUUCCUGGGGUGUACCUGACGCUGAGGCGCGAAAGCGUGGGGAGCGAACCGGAUUAGAAACCCUUGUAGUCC
rnacentral:rRNA from 1 species